AGUCAUUUGGAUAAAUGCCAAGGAAUGAGACCGAAGAUCACAUAAGCCAUUAGCUGGAGUCUUCGAGUGAAGAAGUCUUGGAGUGAAAAACUGGAUUUAAACUUGGAAUAUGUUGAUUUCCUUAUAGAGUACCUGAACAUGUCUUAGUCCCAUGCCAUGACAUGAAUGAAAGAAAAUCUUGAAGUCAUUUUCAUAAAGACCUAAAAAACGUAA